rnacentral:lncRNA from 11 species
CUCUGAAAGAGGGAAGAGCAAGAGAGCAAUAACAUGAAUACUUUCAGAUGUUUUUAAUAAUAAUUCAAAAUCUAUUGAAGAAAACGUCUGCCAUUGCAAGCAAGGAAGGAAGGCCACUGAGCAAGGAGGAGCAGCAACCAGCAGCAAGCAGCCAAGGAAAGCAGCACGGUGGGACAGCAUUGACAAGACUGUUUAGCUGUCGAGGAGGGAGCUCCUCAGGCCAUGGGAUUGCGA